rnacentral:rRNA from 1 species
UACGUAGGGGGCAAGCGUUGUCCGGAAUCAUUGGGCGUAAAGAGCGCGUAGGCGGCCCGGUAAGUCCGCUGUAAAAGUCCAGGGCUCAACCCUGGAAUGCCGGUGGAUACUGUCGGGCUAGAGUCCGGAAGGGGCGAGUGGAAUUCCUGGUGUAGCGGUGAAAUGCGCAGAUAUCAGGAGGAACACCAAUGGCGAAGGCAGCUCGCUGGGACGUGACUGACGCUGAGACGCGAAAGCGUGGGGAGCAAACAGG